rnacentral:rRNA from 1 species
UAGAGUUUGAUCCUGGCUCAGGAUGAACGCUGGCGGCGUGCCUAAUACAUGCAAGUCGAACGAGGUGCUUUUGUAGCAAUACGAGAGUAUCCUAGUGGCGAACGGGUGAGUAACGCGUUGGUGACCUACCCCAAAGUGUGGGAUAACAGUCCGAAAGGAUUGCUAAUACCGCAUGUGGUCUUCAGGUUUAGAAACUGAUGACUAAAGGAGCAAUUCGCUUUGGGAGGGACCUGCGUCCCAUCAGCUAGUUGGUGAGGUAAUGGCUCACCAAGGCGACGACGGGUAGGGGACCUGAGAGGGUGACCCCCCACAAUGGAACUGAAACACGGUCCAUACACCUACGGGUGGCAGCAGUAGGGAGUAUUGCUCAAUGGGCGAAAGCCUGAAGCAGCAACGCCGCGUGCACGAUGAAGGCCUUCGGGUCGUAAAGUGCUUUUCUGGGAGAUGAGAAAGGACAGUAUCCCAGGAAUAAGUCUCGGCUAACUACGUGCCAGCAGCCGCGGUAAAACGUAGGAGGCGAGCGUUAUCCGGAUUCACUGGGCGUAAAGCGCGUGCAGGUGGCUUGGUAAGUUAGGCGUGAAAUCUCCCGGCUCAACUGGGAGAGGUCGUCUAAUACUACCGGGCUAGAGAGCAGAAGAGGAAGAUGGAAUUCCCGGUGUAGUGGUGAAAUGCGUAGAUAUCGGGAGGAACACCAGUGGCGAAGGCGAUCUUCUGGUCUGUUUCUGACACUCAGACGCGACAGCUAGGGUAGUAAACGGGAUUAGAGAUCCCGGUAAUCCUAGCCGUAAACGAUGUGAACUUGGCGUUGGUGGGUUAAACUCCAUCAGUGCCGCAGCAAACGCGAUAAGUUCACCGCCUGGGGACUACGGCCGCAAGGUUAAAACUCAAAGGAAUUGACGGGGGCCCGCACAAGCAGCGGAGCGUGUGGUUUAAUUCGAUGCUACACGAAGAACCUUACCCAGGCUUGACAUACAGGUGGUAGGGAUCCGAAAGGUGACCGACCCGCCAAGGGAGCCUGAACAGGUGUUGCAUGGCUGUCGUCAGCUCGUGUCGUGAGAUGUUGGGUUAAGUCCCGCAACGAGCGCAACCCUCGCCUUUAGUUGCCACGCAAGUGGAUCUCUAGAGGGACUGCCGGUGUCAAACCGGAGGAAGGUGGGGAUGACGUCAAGUCCUCAUGGCCUUUAUGACCAGGGCUACACACGUGCUACAAUGGCCGGUACAAAGCGCAGCCAACUCGCGAGAGGGAGCCAAUCGCAUAAAACCGGUCUCAGUUCGGAUUGGAGUCUGCAACUCGACUCCAUGAAGUCGGAAUCGCUAGUAAUCGUAGAUCAGCACGCUACGGUGAAUACGUUCCCGGGCCUUGUACACACCGCCCGUCACACCAUGGGAGUCAAUUGCUCCAGAAGUCAGUGUGCCAACCGCAAGGAGGCAGCUGCCCAAGGAGUGAUUGGUAACUGGGGUGAAGUCGUAACAAGGUAACCGUA